rnacentral:rRNA from 1 species
CCUGUUUAUCAAAAACAUCUAGAAGCUUAACCAUUAGAAGUACCGCCUGCCCUAUGACCAUGGUUAAAUGGCCGCGAAUUCGUGCUAAGGUAGCGUAAUAGAUUGUCCCCUCAUUAGGGACCUGUAUGAAAGGCAUAACGAAGCUCAACUGUCUCUUCUUAUAUAUGCAAAAUUAACCGCCAAGUGAAAAUGCUUAGAUUGAGCUGAUGGACGAGAAGACCCUGUAGAGCUUAAGUAAAAUCCUACAAAUAGUAAAAAGAGGUGGUAAAGAUGUAGGAUAAUACUUUGAUUGGGGAAAUGUAGGAACAAAAAAAUUCCUAAGAAGCAAGUUUUAGAUAUAAAAAAACGAAAGCCUCAAAGGGAAUGGAAAAGCUACCUCAGGGAUAACAGCGUAAUCCUUCUUAAGAGAUCUAAUCGAAAGAAGGGGUUGCGACCUCGAUGUUGGACUAAGGAAUCCUGAAGGUGUAGAAGUCUUCAAUGGUGGGCCUGUUCGGCUUAAAUAACCUUACAUGAUCUGAGUUCAGACCGGAAU